rnacentral:rRNA from 1 species
UAGGGAAUCUUCCGCAAUGGACGCAAGUCUGACGGAGCAACGCCGCGUGAGUGAAGAAGGAUUUCGGUUCGUAAAACUCUGUUGUUAGAGAAGAACAGCGCAUAGAGUAACUGUUAUGCGUGUGACGGUAUCUAACCAGAAAGCCACGGCUAACUACGUGCCAGCAGCCGCGGUAAUACGUAGGUGGCAAGCGUUGUCCGGAAUCAUUGGGCGUAAAGGGUACGUAGGCGGGUAAGCAAGUUAGAAGUGAAAUCCUGUAGCUCAACUACAGUAAGCUUUUAAAACUGCUCAUCUUGAGAUAUGGAAGGGAGAGUGGAAUUCCAUGUGUAGCGGUGAAAUGCGUAGAUAUAUGGAGGAACACCGGUGGCGAAAGCGGCUCUCUGGUCUGUAACUGACGCUGAGGCUCGAAAGCGUGGGGAGCGAACAGG